rfam:Prevotella melaninogenica ATCC 25845 chromosome II, complete sequence.
AAUGGUAGCUAUAGCAUAAGUGUACACCUCUUCCCAUUCCGAACAGAGAAGUUAAGCCUUAUUGCGCCAAUGGUACUACACUAAGUGGAAGAGUAGGUCGCUGCCAACG